AAUUAAUGAGCUUGAAAUAAGCAUAUGUUUUGAAAACAUAUUAUAGAAUAAAUAUAAUUCUAUUAAUUU
rnacentral:tRNA from 1 species